rnacentral:rRNA from 1 species
GACAUGGCUAAAAUCCUGACUCGGGAAGGUGAUGUAUUUUAUUAGAUUAAAAACCAAUGCCCUCUGGGCUCCUUGGUGAUUCAUGAUAACUCUUCGAAUCGCACGGCCUUGCGCCGGCGAUGGUUCAUUCAAAUUUCUUCCCUAUCAACUUUCGAUGUUUGGGUAUUGGCCAAACAUGGUUGCAACGGGUAACGGAGGGUUAGGGGCUCGACCCCGGAGAAGGAGCCUGAGAAACGGCUACUACAUCCAAGGAAGGGCAGCAGGCGCGCAAAUUACCCAAUCCCGAUUCGGGGGAGGUAGUGACAAUAAAUACUGAUACAGGGCUCUUUUGGGUCUUGUAAUUGGAAUGAGUACAAUUUAAAUCUCUUAACGAGGAACAAUUGGAGGGCAAGUCUGGUGCCAGCAGCCGCGGUAAUUCCAGCUCCAAUAGCGUAUAUUAAAGUUGUUGUGGUUAAAAAGCUCGUAGUUGAACCUUGGGCCUGGCUGGCCGGUCCGCCUCACCGCGUGCACUGGUCCGGCCGGGCCUUUCCCUCUGUGGAACCCCAUGCCCUUCACUGGGCGUGGCGGGGAAACAGGACGUUUACUUUGAAAAAAUUAGAGUGCUCCAGGCAGGCCUAUGCUCGAAUACAUUACCAUGGAUAUGAAAUAGGACGCGUGGUUCUAUUUUGUUGGUUUCUAGGACCGCCGUAUGAUUAUACGGACAGUCGGGGGCAUCAUAUUCAAUUGUCAGGUGAAAUUCUUGAUUUAUGAAAACU